GUGAAUGCGGUGCCGAGGAUGGAGAUGGGGGUCGGAGUGUGGGGAGAUGUGUCCUCUCCAGCCCCGGUCCCGGAGGUUGAGUUCGGGGCGGGGGGGGCGGGGGUUCGGUUUGCCUCUCCACCUCCCCACCUGGUGUUUUGCGGUGUCCGCUGAUGACGGCCUCGCCGGUCGCUGGAUGUAACCAGGUUGUUCUGUGCGCUUCUUCACUGUGUGUAUGUGAGAGAGAGAGAGAGAAGACACGGUGAGUGUAGUUAUAAACUCAAAUGUCAGCUUUCCGUAUCCGCCAAAGCCCAGCUGCCUCCGGUACUCACUCGAUGAAGAAGAUCCGUCCGUCCCGGGUGACCCCAUGCGACCAGAAACUCGGCAGCCGGAGCCACUCGGACCUGUAAUCCGCCAUGUCUGGAACAGGCAGGCGGGGGUUGGAGGCGGCGUUCUGUUUUCACUCAAGAUGUACGUUGUCACCUGAUUUCCAGAAUAACUUUCAAUUUUCAAUGCCUGUUCAAAGUGAUUUGAUAUGCUGCGCUUCAAAUUAUAAAUCGUGGGGUGGUUUGAAUGUGUCCCUCAAGUGUUUCUGCUAGUCUCCUUUGGCACCUCCUACUGCAACCACGUUCCAAGUAGAGCACUGUUUUGUGAGCCUGGCCUCAUGCCUACAAACAGCAUGCCCUGCCCAGUAGGUUUGAGCGAUUAGUUGGCUUCGGGAGGACACUGCUGUUGGACAUUGUACUGGAUUCAGAAGAUCUGCAAUGGCAUUGCUGGCACUACUUUUUAAAUCUGACUGCUAUACGUUUUCCACGUCUGUGCAGGUUAUAGGAGCAUGGCGAUGCUGCUACCGUGACUUUAGUCUCAGAUUAUGCAUCUUCAUCCUCAAGUACUCUUUUCCUGCAUCAUCCAAAGGCUGAGCUGAUACAUUGGAGGCAAUGAUGAAUUUUCUCAUCCAUAUCUAUCUUUAUUGAGAGGGGUUCCCAAGAUACAGAAAAUGCUCCAUAUUUUCCAGAAGCGCACCAUUGAUCUGAAACAAUGAGAGGAAUUUUGCUGAAGUGGUUCGUUGGAAGAAUUUCUUAGUUUUCCAGAUCAUUUUCUCAUACACUUCAGAGAAGGAAUCAAUGAUGACUUAGUGCUUAGCAUCAGAGAAAGUGCACAUAUACUAAUGUCAUCUGCAAUACGAAACUCUAUGACUGAGAUUGGAGUGGUUUUGGAUUGAUGAUGGCACUGGUUGAAUAGUUUCUCAUCUGUUCUGUAGAUUAUUUCCACAACUGCUGAUAAUUUGCUGGCGAUGAGGUGCAGUAUUGCAUGAGCAAAAUGGAAAAACGUUAGUGCAUUGACAUAGCCUUGGAUGACCCUAGUUUUCACUGAGAUAAGUUUUCCAUUAGUAAAGAUCACAUCUCUUUUGUGGAGUAGGAAGAGGAUGGUGACAAAUUUAUGAGGGCAGCCAAGUUUGAGAAAUGUGCUCAAUUAAUUUGAAUGGCUGAUAAUUGCUUCCAAAAGUAUUUGUAAUGUCAAAAAUGGUCAUUUUUUACAAUGGUUACAGUUGUUCAUUUCAUCACUUCUUGGAUUUGUCAGUCAGGGAAAAUCAGGUCAGUAGCGUCUGUCAAUGGGGAGAAAAUGAAUGGUGGUCGUGCAAGGAGUUCCUUGGCCACUAAGAGAAGGCAGCUGAGGAAGAUCAUUUCCGCGUCAACCAGCGUGAAUUCGCCUCUGUCAUUUCCGCAAACAAAUUUUUCUCCCUUCUUAAAGAUCUAAGUACAAGAUCAGCAAAGUCUAGAUGUAACAAUUAUAUAGGAACUUGGUUAGAUCACACCUGGAUUACUAUGUGCAGUUUUGGUGUCCUUAACUCAGAGAAGAUAUUAUUGUUGCAGAGACAAGUACAACAAAGGUGCGCUAGACUUUUUCCCAGGAUGGCAAAAUUAUCCUAUGAAGAGAGAAUGGGGAAAAGAGGGCCUGUAUUAUUUAGAGGUUUGAAGAAUGAGAGGUGAUCUUAUACAAACAUUCUAAAACUUAAAGGGACAGACAGGACAGAUGCAAUCAAGAUGUUUUCACUGGCUGGGAAGUAUGGAACCAAGGGCAUAAUUUUAAAAAUAGGGAGGAUGCCAUUGAAGACUGAGAGGAGGAGACAUUUUUUCACUCAAAGCAUUCUGAAUCUUUGGAGUUCUUUGCCCCAGAGGAUGGAGGAAUCUAUGUCUUUGUGUAUAUUUAGAGGUUGAGAAAUUUUUAAUUACCAAUGACAUAAAGAGUUGUAUGGAUAAUGUGGGUAAAAGGCAAUGAAGUGUUCAAUCAAUGAUUGUACUAAUUGGCAGAACAGGCUCAACAAUCUGAAUGGCCUGCUCUUUUAUGUCCCUCUGUUCCUACAGGAGUAAAUGUUUUCAAGAUGAGGAACCCCAUGUCAGUGUUAAUUGACAAAGGCCAGAAUUUUGAAAGGUUAAUGAGGACAAAACUGCUGGUAUUUGUCACCAUUACUCUGAUGAAACUGACAGCAACUUUUGGAGUCCAUGCAUUCAGACAAUAAUAUCAAAAUCCAGAAGUUGCUGUCAGUCUGUCUAUGCUCCGCAGAAGGUACACAUUGGAGGUUAGCCCAGAGUGAAAUUUCUAAGCAAUUAAUAAGCUACUGAAAAUUUCCACCUUUGAUAUUUUCUAAUCAAUCUGUUCAGAGGUGUUAUCACGUUUCCCGGCUGAGAAGUUGGGACACUACUGCUGUGCCACAGGUUACCUAAAUGUCAACUUUUGUUCUAUUUGUUUUAAAACAUUAAAUGUUAAAUUAAUUAAGUUUUGUUUUUACACUGUACCUGUUUCAUAAAUACUUUUCUAUACCCUCACUGAGCUUGAAAGACUACAUUACAUUUGUGUAAAAUCAAUUCUCUCUAUUGUGAAAAAAGUACUUUUGAAAUGAAGAAAAACUUAAAAUUGUUGUGGCAUUUUUGCUUGUUUCUUUAUGAU